AGCCAGUGUGGUGUAGUGGUUAGAGUGUCAGACUGGGACUUGGGAGACCAGGGUUCAAAUCCCCACUUGGCCA